GCUCCGGUGGCCUAGUGGUUAGAGCGUCUGCUUCAUAUGCUGGAGAUCUCAGGUUCGAACUCCGUCUGAGUCA